rnacentral:rRNA from 1 species
UACGGAGGAUGCGAGCGUUAUCCGGAUUCAUUGGGUUUAAAGGGUGCGUAGGCGGUUUCUUAAGUCAGUGGUGAAAUUUUGUGGCUCAACCAUAAACGUGCCAUUGAAACUGAGAGACUUGAGUGCGGACGAGGCAGGCGGAAUGUGUUAUGUAGCGGUGAAAUGCAUAGAUAUAACACAGAACACCAAUAGCGAAGGCAGCUUGCCAGACCGUAACUGACGCUGAUGCACGAAAGCGUGGGUAGCGAACAGG